AGUGAACGCUGGCGGUAGGCCUAACACAUGCAAGUCGAACGGCAGCACAGUAAGAGCUUGCUCUUACGGGUGGCGAGUGGCGGACGGGUGAGGAAUACAUCGGAAUCUACUUUUUCGUGGGGGGUAACGUAUGGAAACUUACGCUAAUACCGCAUACGACCUACGGGUGAAAGCAGGGGAUCUUCGGACCUUGCGCGAUUGAAUGAGCCGAUUUCGGAUUAGCUAGUUGGCGGGGUAAAGGCCCACCAAGGCGACGAUCCGUAGCUGGUCUGAGAGGAUGAUCAGCCACACUGGAACUGAGACACGGUCCAGACUCCUACGGGAGGCAGCAGUGGGGAAUAUUGGACAGAGGGCGCAAGCCUGAUCCAGCCAUACCGCGUGGGUGAAGAAGGCCUUCGGGUUGUAAAGCCCUUUUGUUGGGAAAGAAAAGCAGCAGGUUAAUACCCCGCUGUUCUGACGGUACCCAAAGAAUAAGCAGCGGCUAACUUCGUG
rnacentral:rRNA from 1 species